rnacentral:tRNA from 1 species
GCCCCCGUAGCUCAGUCGGACAGAGCGGCGCCUUCUAAGCGCAAGGUCGGGGGUUCGAUGCCCUCCGGGGGCUCCA